AUGCACGCUGGCGGCGUGCCUAAUCCCUGCCAGUCGCGCGAACAGACGAGGAGCUUGCUCCUCUGACGUUAGCGGCGGACGGGUGAGUAACACGUGGAUAACCUACCUAUAAGACUGGGAUAACUUCGGGAAACCGGAGCUAAUACCGGAUAAUAUAUUGAACCGCAUGGUUCCAUAGUGAAAGACGGUUUUGCUGUCACUUAUAGAUGGAUCCGCGCCGCAUUAGCUAGUUGGUAAGGUAACGGCUUACCAAGGCAACGAUGCGUAGCCGACCUGAGAGGGUGAUCGGCCACACUGGAACUGAGACACGGUCCAGACUCCUACGGGAGGCAGCAGUAGGGAAUCUUCCGCAAUGGGCGAAAGCCUGACGGAGCAACGCCGCGUGAGUGAUGAAGGUCUUCGGAUCGUAAAACUCUGUUAUUAGGGAAGAACAAAUGUGUAAGUAACUAUGCACGUCUUGACGGUACCUAAUCAGAAAGCCACGGCUAACUACGUG
rnacentral:rRNA from 1 species